UACGAAGGGGGCUAGCGUUGCUCGGAAUUACUGGGCGUAAAGCGCACGUAGGCGGCUUUCUAAGUCGGAGGUGAAAUCCUGGAGCUCAACUCCAGAACUGCCUUCGAUACUGGAGAGCUUGAGUCCGGGAGAGGUGAGUGGAACUGCGAGUGUAGAGGUGAAAUUCGUAGAUAUUCGCAAGAACACCAGUGGCGAAGGCGGCUCACUGGCCCGGUACUGACGCUGAGGUGCGAAAGCGUGGGGAGCAAACAGGG
rnacentral:rRNA from 1 species